AUUGAACGCUGGCGGCAUGCCUUACACAUGCAAGUCGAACGGUAACGCGGGGCAACCUGGCGACGAGUGGCGAACGGGUGAGUAACGCAUCGGAACGUGCCCAAUAGUGGGGGAUAGCCCGGCGAAAGCCGGAUUAAUACCGCAUACGACCUACGGGUGAAAGCAGGGGAUCGCAAGACCUUGCGCUAAUGGAGCGGCCGAUGUCAGAUUAGGUUGUUGGUGGGGUAAAGGCCCACCAAGCCGACGAUCUGUAGCUGGUCUGAGAGGAUGACCAGCCACACUGGGACUGAGACACGGCCCAGACUCCUACGGGGGGAAGCAGGGGGGAAUUUUGGACAAUGGGCGCAAGCGUGAUCCAGCCAUGCCGCGUGCGGGAUGAAGGCCUUCGGGUUGUAAACCGCUUUUGUUAGGGAAGAAAUCGCACGGGCCAAUACCCUGUGUGGAUGACGGUACCGGAAGAAGAAGCACCGGCUAACUACGUGCCAGCAGCCGCCGUAAAAC
rnacentral:rRNA from 1 species